GUGCCAGCAGCCGCGGUAAUACGUAGGGNNNNAGCGUUAUCCGGAAUUAUUGGGCGUAAAGAGCUCGUAGGCGGUUUGUCGCGUCUGCUGUGAAAUCUGGAGGCUCAACCUCCAGCCUGCAGUGGGUACGGGCAGACUAGAGUGCGGUAGGGGAGAUUGGAAUUCCUGGUGUAGCGGUGGAAUGCGCAGAUAUCAGGAGGAACACCGAUGGCGAAGGCAGAUCUCUGGGCCGUAACUGACGCUGAGGAGCGAAAGGGUGGGGAGCGAACAGGCUUAGAUACCCUGGUAGUCCACCCCGUAAACGUUGGGAACUAGUUGUGGGGGCCUUUCCACGGUCUCCGUGACGCAGCUAACGCAUUAAGUUCCCCGCCUGGGGAGUACGGCCGCAAGGCUAAAACUCAAAGGAAUUGACGGGGACCCGCACAAGCGGCGGAGCAUGCGGAUUAAUUCGAUGCAACGCGAAGAACCUUACCAAGGCUUGACAUAUACCGGAAAAGGCUGGAAACAGUCUCCCCCUUGUGGUCGGUAUACAGGUGGUGCAUGGUUGUCGUCAGCUCGUGUCGUGAGAUGUUGGGUUAAGUCCCGCAACGAGCGCAACCCUCGUUCUAUGUUGCCAGCACGUUAUGGUGGGAACUCAUGGGAUACUGCCGGGGUCAACUCGGAGGAAGGUGGGGAUGACGUCAAAUCAUCAUGCCCCUUAUGUCUUGGGCUUCACGCAUGCUACAAUGGGCGGUACAAAGGGCUGCGAUACCGUAAGGUGGAGCGAAUCCCAAAAAGCCGGUCCCAGUUCGGAUUGAGGUCUGCAACUCGACCUCAUGAAGUCGGAGUCGCUAGUAAUCNCAGANCAGCAACGCUGCGGUGAAUACGUUCCCGGGNCUUGUACACACCGCCCGU
rnacentral:rRNA from 1 species